UUUCUUUCUAUGUUUCUGGCAUGGAACAGUGACAGAAGUUAUUUCCAUUCUAUGGCCAAGGACAGAGCUCUGCACCAGCUGAACCACGGGCCUGAUCCAGUACUACAGUUGCUUUUCCACUCCCAUGGCAAUAAUUUCCCCAUGAUAUUGAGCACAGUCCUCAUGGUGUAUUGACACCACUAUAGGAAUAUGUGGAUGGAGGUUUCCUAUGUUGUACCAGAUGAAAGAUGGGAGCACAGGGAGGUGUUUCUCAUUAAAUGGAGCUGCCCUUAAUUUUUUUUUCUAAUAACCAAGAAAGAAGGUAUCAUUUUACUGUACUUGGCUCCACAGAAGCAGAACAAAUACACGAAAACCAACAGAAGCUUUAGUUUUACUACUUAGGAUGUGUAUGGGAGCUGUUGAAUCACAGCCUGAACCACUGAUUGAUCACCUGAGGCAAGCACUGAGUCAGCCAUGGGAGCACAGGUGAAGGCAAUUCACCUGUGUGACGAGAAGGGGUGGAGCCUGGCUGCACCUCUCCUAGACCCCAUUUAAGGGCUGACUGCCGCUGGUGAAGGAUAUCUUUUUGGAGCUUGCUCCCUUUGGAGUUUUUCUGUGAGCCUCUGAUAUGGGGAUCAGAAUUCUAUCCCAUACGAUGAAAUGUGACUGGAGUUGACUGUAUUUACUGUGGAAAAAGUAAAAUCAUUUUAGAAAUGCAUUUAAGUGAAGAUGUUAUCUCCUUUGGCAUGUCUGCAUCACACACACAGGGGUGUGUAAGGUUCUAGGUGUACUGGAAGCAUCACUGUGCUUUGUUGAAGAGAAGAAAAAAGACUGGGGAGAAGGGAUUCCAUCGUCUCUUGAAGUUCAUAUUUGGUAGAGUUCUCCCUAGCAGAAGGCCUGUACAGUGCCUAGAUAACACAUGGAGUCAAAACAGGAAGAGAGGGAGGCAGAGCAGUACAUGAAUGUCGCUUAACCCCUAUGAAUCAGAAAGUAAAAGUAUUUUGUGAAUUUGAACUUAUUCUGAGUGUGAGUGUCUUGGAACAGUGUCAAAUAACUCUCUUUUUCAGGCAGCAAUUGUUAGUGUUGUCAGUGCCCUGCAGUAUCUUGUCUGUAAGCUUUUCUGAUCUAUUUGUGUGACUAUAGACCAGUUGGACUAAGAUUCUGUCCUUUGAGCUGGGAUCUGUCUACUUCAGCACUUCUCUUUAAAUCAGGAGCAGGCUUUGGAAGCCAAAUUCAUGGCCAUUUGUCCCUGUGGUGUUUUGGUUUACACGAUGAAGCAAGUCUCAGAAGACAAGUGAAAGUAAACUGUGUCCCAGAAGCACACCUAACAUGCUCCAGUGGGUGUGCAGUCCACGCUGGAGUUGGUUGGAAGUAAUUCACCCUAUUAUCAGCUGCUUGAGACAUAGCUUCUGUUCUGUUGACCUCUUUCUCUUGUACUGCACUAAUUGUUACUGGAGAUGAACAUACUGUCUGAUCACAAUCUUUUUAAUGUGUUCAUUCAAAUCUGUUCUUAUAUCUUCCUUCUGGAAUUAAUUACUGUUCAGUAACAAACUGAUUGGUGAGAAACAGGAUGAGGCAGAUGGUGGCCAGCCAGUAUGCUUUAGUAUGAUGCCCUUCUCACCCUCACAGUGACAGUAUUGUGGCUCACUCAUUAGGAGCGAUUUUCAGUGUAGUUAACUGUUCUGUUUCUGUUGACUCUUGAUAUAAAAGUACAUUGACAUCUAAUACCUGGAAAACAAGCGAAAAUGUGAUAGUGUGACAAGGAGGUCUGUGGCUUACAGAUCUUCCUGUCUAUCUAUGUUUGACUACAUCAGUACAUUUUCUAGAGGAGAUAAUUUUUUUGUCAAUGCCUUAAAGUACACUGCAUUUUUUUCUUCUUUUGUGUAGUGAAUUUUUGUGUUCUUUUUGGGAAGAGCAAAUAAAAAAGGUAUUGAAAAUGC
rnacentral:lncRNA from 1 species